GACGGAGGGGGCUAGCGUUGUUCGGAAUUACUGGGCGUAAAGGGCGCGUAGGCGGAUUAGUAAGUUGGGAGUGAAAGCCCGGGGCUUAACCUCGGAACUGCUUUCAAAACUGCUAGUCUUGAGUGAAGUAGGGGAUGAUGGAAUUCCUAGUGUAGAGGUGAAAUUCUUAGAUAUUAGGAGGAACACCGGUGGCGAAGGCGGUCAUCUGGACUUCAACUGACGCUGAGGCGCGAAAGCGUGGGGAG
rnacentral:rRNA from 1 species